rnacentral:lncRNA from 1 species
UUUUAGUGAAGUGGCCGCCUUAUCAACCAUGACCAAAAAAUAAUUGACUUUAAAAUCCUUCUCAGCUUCAAACAUUGCUUCAUCAUUGUCAUCUUCAUCAAAUUGUUUCUUCCUAGAAACACGACGCUUUACUGGAAAUGAUGGCUCAACACCCAUUUCAGCUGCAAUUGUUUUGGCAAUUACCACACUAGAAACAAACCCUUCCUCUCUAUAAGUGUCAAAAUAAGUCC